rnacentral:rRNA from 1 species
UACGGAGGGUGCUAGCGUUGUUCGGAAUUACUGGGCGUAAAGGGCGCGUAGGCGGCCGUUUGCGUCGGAUGUGAAAGCCCGGGGCUCAACCUCGGAACGGCAUUCGAUACGGGACGGCUGGAGACCGGGAGAGGAGAGUGGAAUAGCCAGUGUAGAGGUGAAAUUCGUAGAGAUCGGCAGGAACACCCGUGGCGCAAGCGGCCACCUAGCCCACACCUGACGCUGAGGCGCGACAGCGUGGGGAGCGAACUGG